UCAAUUAAAAAAUUUUUUUAUAGUACAACGAUAUUUCAAGAGACACGGUAGUGGCUCGCGCCAAGUGAAAGCGUAGCGUGAGCCCGACCGUGCUCUUUUACGCGAGUACGCGACUUGCGAGCAUCCGAGAUUAUCAGAUCUCAGAAACGGCUAAACCGAUCGAGUUCUAACUAGACUCAAUCGAAAGCUUAGGGUCGAUUUGUAUCAGAAAAGUGUUUUUAUUUUUCCUCUAUGUACUUUAUGAGAGGAGAUUAUCACGACGCAAAGUCCGAAAAGCCAAAAUUUCAUUUAAGAUACGUCGUCGUCAUUAUUAUCAUCGUCAACAUUGUGGGUAUCUUUGCGGGUAGUGCGGGUGCCGAAAAUGAGGGACGAAAUUCCAUCUCGCGCAUCUGCUACCAUGCGGCGUUCGCAUCGUCACUAUAGCACCAUGUAUGGCAAUAUUUUAUUUUUAUUUAUUUUUUAUAAGUCACGAUGAGAUGUUGCAUAAUGUAAAAUGUGUAUUAUUGCUGUAAUUGUCAACAAUGAUAAUGUCGUAAGGAUAAAGUAAAGAAUAAUAUUAUUAAAAAUAGUAUUAUUAAAUCAUUCAUUUGAAAUUUUAUUAAAUUUAAUUAGUAGUUAUUAAUAUUGAUUUUGAUUGAUUUGACAAUUACAGCAACAUUUAACCAAUACACAAUUCUUCUACAUGAUACAACAUCUCAUCUCUCAUUGACACUAAUAUAAAAUCAGAGAACUAUUUUAUUAAUUUUACAUUGUUUUAAUGUAAGUUGCUCGGAUCAGAAUUCAGCUUGUGUCAAGUGACAUGUGUAGUGGAGGUUAAAUCGUUUAUUUAUCGAAAUAGAUGAGAUGUUGCGUGAUGUAAAUUAUUGCUGUAAUUGUCAAUCAAUGAUAAUGUUGUAAGGAUAAGAAUUUUAAUAAACAUGUGGGUCGGCAGUAACUCGUUCACGCUACGCGCCAGCUUUCAUCAAGGGUGCGUUUUUAAAUUCGCAACGGAUGCACUGGAGUGUCAUCCUAUCUUUGUUCAACUUUCCGUAAGUAACAAAGAUGGAAUGACAUUCUGGUGUAUCUGGCAGCAUCCGUUGCGAAUUUAAGAACGCAUCCCAAAUGACGUGUAGUGUUAAUAAAAUAAUGUCAACUGUUUCAAAAUUGCUGUCUGUACUGAUACAUACAUUAUAGAUAGAUUUUCAGUACUGAGAGCAAUUUUGAAACAUAGUCUUUAUUGUGCUUUAAUUUAAUUUAUAAUCAUGUUAAUAGAUAAAAACUCGGGGUGACGGAGAGUAGGAGAGAGAGAGAAAGAGAAAGAGAGAGAGAGAGAGAGAGAGAGAGAGAGAGAGAGAAAGAGAAUUAUAUGUGUCUUUUCUGAACACAGCGCAUUAUCACCGAUAGCUCAGUGAACAGCAAUUCAUUAUUUAAUGAUUUUUCAGUGGAAACUCAGGAUGAGAGAGACAAAGAGCAGGAGAGAAAGAGAGAAGGAAUUAUAUAUGUGAUCUAAACCAGCGAAACAUGAAUGAUGACAGUAUAUUACCAUCGAUAGCUCAGUGGAGAUAUUAUUAUUUAAUGAUUCUUUAGGCAAGUCGCACAUUACGUAUCUGUAUCACAUUUUCAUGAAGUAAUUUAUAAUUAAAAAUGUAUCCUGCAAAUAUUUUAA
rnacentral:lncRNA from 1 species